GAAAUGCGAUAAGUAAUGUGAAUUGCAGACUUCAGUGAAUCAUCGAAUCUUUGAACGCACAUUGCGCCCGCCAGUAUUCUGGCGGGCAUGCCUGUUCGAGCGUCAUUUCGACCGUCAAGCCCCCGGGCUUGUGUUGGGGCUCCCUGCGGCUGUCCGCAGGCCCUGAAAACCAGUGGCGGGCUCGCAGAGUCACCCCGAGCGUAGUAGACCUCUCUCCUCUCGCUCAGGGCGUGCGUGCGGGCGCUCGCCGUAAAAGAGGCGCGGCCCCGGCCGCCCACCCACACACAAGGUUGACCUCGGAUCAGGUAGGAAUACCCGCUGAACUUAA
rnacentral:misc_RNA from 1 species